rnacentral:tRNA from 1 species
CGGAGCGUAGCGCAGCCUGGUAGCGCAUCACACUGGGGGUGUGGAGGUCGCUGGUUCAAAUCCAGUCGCUCCGACCA